rnacentral:rRNA from 1 species
UGCGAGUGAAGCGGCAAGAGCUCAAAUUUGAAAUCUGUGCCCUCAAGGGCACCGAGUUGUAACCUUGAGAUACGUUUUCGACCGACAGGCCUGCCUUAAGUUCCUUUGGAACAGGACGUCACAGAGGGUGAGAAUCCCGUGAACGGUAGGCCUCGAGGCGCAUGAUACGUAUUCGACGAGUCGAGUUGUUUGGGAAUGCAGCUCAAAGUGGGUGGUAAAUUUCAUCUAAAGCUAAAUAUUGGGGAGAGACCGAUAGCGCACAAGUAGAGUGAUCGAAAGAUGAAAAGCACUUUGAAAAGAGAGUUAAAAAGUACGUGAAAUUGUUGAAAGGGAAGCGCUUGAGACCAGACUCAAUCUCCGUUGAUCAACUUCAGUUCUCUGUUGUGCACUCGGCGGCUUUUGGGACAGCAUCGGUUCCCGCGGAGGGACAAAGCCUCAGGAAAUGUGGCACCCUUCGGGGUGUGUUAUAGUCCUCUGGGCAAUGCCUCCAGCGGGGACCGAGGACCGCGCUCCGGCUAGGAUGCUGUCAUAAUGGUCUCCAGCGACCCGUCUUGAAACACGGACCAAGGAGUCUAACAUCUAUGCGAGUGUUCGGGUGGAAAACCCUUGCGCGUAAUGAAAGUGAACGGAGGUGGGAAUCGCAAGACGCACCAUCGACCGAUCCUGAAGUCUUCCGAAGGAUUUGAGUAUGAGCAUAGCUGUUGGGACCCGAAAGAUGGUGAACUAUGCCUGAAUAGGGUGAAGCCAGGGGAAACUCUGGUGGAGGCUCGCAGCGGUUCUGA